UUUAAUAUUUGUAAUUUUUUAUUUUCUUAUAUUAAUCGAAAAUUAACUGGUUAAUGUCGAACUGAUUCUUAGUUACUAUUGUAUCUGAACAAGAAAUAGAGAAUACGUUCAUAACCUUAAAAGAAGAUUGAUAUUUAGGUUAAAAUGUUGCCGAAAUAUAGAAAAAAAAGUUAUAUUUUGGAUAAACUACAUCAUGGAUUUGUAAAAAUUUGUAUGGGUGUUACAGUAAUUGGAGGAGUAGCUUUAGGAUAUAAAAUAUAUGUUUAUUUUCGAUAUAUAAAACCUGCAUUACGAGAAAUACAAAUGCAAAAUAAUAACGAUUUAUUAGAAGAAGGAAGAUAUAAACCGAUUGUUGGUUAAAAUAAAAGAAAUUUAAUAAUAAUUUAAUAAUAAAUUAAUAAUAAGUUUAAAAUAUGUAGAAAAGUUGUAAUAAAACAAUAGUUAAAAUAAAAUUUAUAAUUAUCAAUAA